GGGCCUGUAGCUCAGCCUGGUUAGAGCACACGCUUGAUAAGCGUGGGGUCGGUAGUUCGAAUCUACCCAGGCCCA
rnacentral:tRNA from 1 species